AUCCCUGUGGAAAGCCUGUGGAAGAGCUGGGAACGGAAGCCAGAUCUCUUGGUUCCCAGUGCUGCGCUAUCAUGGCCACUCCGUGAAUGGGCAUCAUGGAAUA